rnacentral:misc_RNA from 1 species
UCUCUAUGUAGCUGGCUGU